rnacentral:rRNA from 1 species
UACGUAGGGUGCGAGCGUUAAUCGGAAUUACUGGGCGUAAAGAGUGCGUAGGCGGUUCUCGAAGUCCGCUGUGAAAGCCCCGGGCUUAACCUGGGAAUGGCAGUGGAAACUGGAGGACUUGAAUUGAGCAGAGGGGGGUGGAAUGCCGCGUGUAGCAGUGAAAUGCGUAGAGAUGCGGCGGAACACCGAUGGCGAAGGCAGCCCCCUGGGCUUAAAUUGACGCUGAGGCACGAAAGCGUGGGGAGCAAACAGG